GCUUCCAUAGCUCAGUUGGUUAGAGCGUCGUACUAAUAAUGCGAAUGUCGCAGGUUCAAUCCCUGCUGGGAGCA
rnacentral:tRNA from 1 species